rnacentral:rRNA from 1 species
AACGAACGCUGGCGGCAUGCCUAACACAUGCAAGUCGAACGAGACCUUCGGGUCUAGUGGCGCACGGGUGCGUAACGCGUGGGAACCUGCCCUUAGGUUCGGAAUAACUCCCCGAAAGGGGUGCUAAUACCGGAUAAUGUCUUCGGACCAAAGAUUUAUCGCCUUCGGAUGGGCCCGCGUUGGAUUAGCUAGUUGGUAGGGUAAAAGCCUACCAAGGCGACGAUCCAUAGCUGGUCUGAGAGGAUGAUCAGCCACACUGGGACUGAGGCACGGCCCAGACUCCUACGGGAGGCAGCAGUGGGGAAUAUUGGACAAUGGGCGAAAGCCUGAUCCAGCAAUGCCGCGUGAGUGAUGAAGGCCUUAGGGUUGUAAAGCUCUUUUACCCGGGAUGAUAAUGACAGUACCGGGAGAAUAAGCGCCGGCUAACUCCGUG